CACCGAAGAUCAGGGCCGUUACAUUUGUUUUGUCAACAGUUCCAUUGGAUUAGUCGAAUCACAAACGUCGAACGUCGUCGUCGCCGCAUAGAAUGCACAGCACAUUUAAGUCGCCGAGCCAGAAACGUCCGUCACCAUCACGUGUCAUUUCUCCGGCCGGUUGUCAGUUGGCUCAAAGAUGGCCAGCGCUUCUUGGUGGGUAAUAGUGGUCGUGUUUCUUCUUCAUCCGGCGACGACGGCUACACCGAUAUGGUCCAGUUAUCCAUUUCGUCCGUCCAACGUGAAGAUGAGGGAAUAUACCAAUGCCUGGCAUCCAAUGACGAAGGAGAUUGGGCCCAAGCAUCGGCCCAGCUGGCCAUUGGAGCAUUUCCUCCUCAUUUGAAAGAAACGUUCAGUCGGCAAGUUGUACAUCCGGGAAGUUCAGUCUAGUUGAAAAUCUUUAGCCUCUGGCACUCCACUGCCUCAUUUCACUUGGACGCUGGACGGGUUUCCGUUAUCGCCCGUUUCCGAACGAUAUUUCCUCGGCCAGCAGCAACAAACGGGUCACGACGAUCUUGUAGUGGCUCAUCUCAACAUAACCCACGUCCGAGUCGAAGACGGAGGCAAUUACAAAUGUGUAGCGGAGAAUCGAGUGGGUCGCGUAGAGCAUUCAGCCAAUUUGCAUAUUUACGGAGCUCCUUAUGUGAGACGGAUGAGUACAGUCGUCGGAGUUGGUGGCAAACGACUGGAAUUACCUUGCCCUGUCGCUGGUUAUCCCAUUGAGGCCAUCACGUGGGAAAAAGACGGACGUCGUUUGCCGCUGAAUGGCCGUCAGCGACUUCAAUUCAAUGGCAGUUUGACGAUCGAUCCGUUGGAUAAGAGCAGCGACGCCGGUCUUUAUAGUUGCGAGGCGCGUGGCCAGAACGGACUCUCGGCUCGCCAGUCACUUCAACUCAACAUCCUCGCUUUGCGAAAAUAUUGACUCGGCGCCUUUUUCUUUUCCCCCUCCGCCCUGUAAACUUGCUCGGUCGCUGUGUAUACUCUUUGAUGAUGAGAAAGUCAACAGCGCUUUUCUAUCCGGUCUGGAAGCAGAAAAAAAAUUUUAAAAAAAGGAAGCAAUGAAAGCAAAUGAGACAGACCGACUAUAUCGAUCCAGCAGCCAGAAGCCAAUUUAAGUCUUUCCCCUUUUAUUUUUGUGAAAAACAAGAAAAAGGAGAUGAGUUAAGUGGGUAGGAAGGAUAAAUUUAGAAAUUUCUCGACGUUUUUUUGUUGUUGCUUCCGGUCGCCGGAAUUUCGUUAAAAAAACAACAAAAAACACGAAAAAAAAACGAUAUUGGAUACAGACGCGCCUCAUAUAAUGACAAUGAGCGAUUCGGCCAUGUUGAAUGCCGGCGAGCGAUUGGCUCUUCAAUGCGCCGUAGUUAAAGGUGGAUUGCCGUUGUUCGUCAGCUGGUCGAAAGAUGGCCAAGUGAUUGCACCGACAACUGCAACGACGACGACUAGCGUCCGUUUGGUGAACGAAUUCACAGCCACGUUGACGAUUGAAUCGUUGACUGGACAACAUGGUGGAUGGUACGUCUGCCGCAAAUAUAUAAUUUCAGUUACAAUAGUGCAAUAGAAAAAAAGUGGUGGAAAUAUUUAUCAGGCUUUAGAGCAGCAUUAGCCUUUGCUAUAUCUCCACAUCAUGUAAAUGGAAAAUCUCUGGAACUUCUUGUUGAGAAAUGAAGCCAUUGUGCAUAUUGCAUCAACCAAGGGCGAAAUGUUACCACAUAUAGGCCAAUGUUACAACGGACACAUGAAGUCUGUAUGUUGGUACAGUUUAUCAACAGGCACAAGAGCAUGUUCGGGCAAUAAUUGUGGGAUAGUUUAGGUAGAUUCUUUGCUGCGUCAUAGCUCGGGAGUCGUAACGGGCAAUAUCCUUGUGCAUUAAGUUGGUGAACUCUUGUGUUCCAUUGGGAAAAUAUUUCAAAUUGAUUUAUUUGCAUGUUACGGAGUUGUAUUUUUCUGAUCUGUGGAGCCUGACAUUUUCCACAAUUUCUAUCGGCGGACAAAAUGUCUUUUAGGAUUGGUAGCAGCUUACGAAGCAGUAGGUUCCAACAUCAUCUAACGUCUGCUUUAGUAAUGGCAGGGAUGUGAAUGAUAAUUUGUGAAAUCAAACAACUUAAGCAGGUGCCUAGCUCAACAACUCCUAUGAAAUCUAGAUUGGUGGUGGUAGUUAUAGGGCGCCUGUUCAGGCAACAGUUUCGUUUUUUAAUCCGCCAAGGAUUUAUGCGUUAUUGCGUCUACUGUGUAGCCUGAGUAGCAUACGCAAGGGGGCGUUUAUCUACAUUCCUGAUCACCAAGCAGUUACAAAUAUGUUCUACACUGAUAAGCAUCCGAGGCAAAGUGCGAGCUGAACUAGUUAAUUGCCCCUCAACUCCAGAGGGCACUAGUUUACAGCAACUCGGGCUCACCCUUUGGGUAAUUUGAGAUACUUUUCUGGACGGUUCAGAAUCUUAUUAUUGGCCAAAAUUUGAUACGAGAUUAAUUGAUACUUAGUCCUGUCAGACCUCAAAUUCUACGGUUUAUAAUUCUUGUUCUAUGACCGAUUUUAUUAUUAUUUUUUUUAUACAAAGAGUGGAUUCUCAUUUCUUCUUCAUAUCAGCGAGCAGAUUUGAGGUUUAAAAUUGUUUUAGGUUGUUAAGCAAGUCUGACUUUCUACGAUGUGCAUGGCCGCCAAACUUUGUCGUUAUAUCUGACUGUUAAUCGGUAAGAAAAACGGCGAAUUAUUGACGAUACGUUUGUCAAAAUGGCAAAUACAACGCCUAACGAUUUAAAUCUAACUUGGGAUAAUCUACUUCUCGGACAAGGUACUUUGAGACCGGAUCUAAUUGAGUCCGCUUUCCAUAUGGCUUCUUCGCGCACUGUUGCCAUAAAGACUCGUCAUAACGAUUCCGAAAUGGUUCGUCAAUUGCGCAUUCACGGCCGUGUAGUAGAACCUAUUAAAGACUUCCUUAAAGAUGAAGUAAGAGCCUUAGGUCGUGAGCUGGGUUUGCCCGCACAAUUACUGGAACGUUACCCGUUUCCUGGUCCCGGCUUGUCAAUUUGAAUCAUUUACGCCGAAGAGCCGUUCUUGGAAGCUAAUUUCGAUGAGACGCAAGUGCUGAUUCGUUCGAUGGUCCAUUAUGCCAACAUAGCAGCCAAGGAACAUGCCUUGCUCAAUCGGAUUGAAAUCGUGACGUCGGAAGAAGAACGUCUUCUUCUGGGAGAACUGUCUAGUCGUAACCAGUAUGUUGCCACGCUACUGCCUAUUCGCACUGUCGGUGUUCAGGUACAGGAGGUUGCAGAAAAAUGUGUCGGGUAUGGCAAACAAAGCAUAGGGAAAACCGCCACAUUUUUCUGCAAUAUACUGUACAACAGAUUCGCAAUUUAGACGUUGUCGUAAUAAUGCCGCGAUCGUAAUCAACUCUUAUUCAAGGUAGAUGAUAGGUGCCACCGUAUCUACGCCAAGGGUCCUUGUGAUCAUGGCCAAUGGCUUGAGCCGGAUACCAACGACUAUGGCACCUGUCGCCCUUCGCCUUGCCCAGUAAGCAAAUGCAACGGUCGCCAGAUCUACUGGAAGUCAACACUAAAUUCUGAAGGUGGCUGUUAUAAAUCGUUCACACGUGGGCCUUGCAGGCGAAGUAGCUAUUUCCUCGUUGAAGAAUAUGGCACUCGAAGAGGUCGAUGUGUUUCUCAAUUUGGAUCAUCCUAUGAAUCCUAUGUCCUUCCGUCACGCUAUCCCAGGAUGAGGAACCCUUACGACAUGAUGUACUCCAACAACGCGAUGAGCCCAUGAUCGAAAUUUGGCAUGUAUCCGCCGUUUGGCAUGCAGGAAGAUUAGCGGAGACCACUAUCCUGACAUUCCCAGUUUCGAUUACUGAACUAGAAACAGUUUUACAGAACCAUUCACAUGGUUUUGUCUCUAUUAUUUCAUUUAAAAAAUGCGAUUGCAAAUUUUCUAUUGUGACGUAUGGCGGAUAAAAAACAACCUUAAUUAGU
rnacentral:sRNA from 1 species